GAGUUUGAUCCUGGCUCAGGACGAACGCUGGCGGCGUGCCUAAUACAUGCAAGUAGAACGCUGAAGGAGGGGCUUGCUCUUCUGGAUGAGUUGCGAACGGGUGAGUAACGCGUAGGUAACCUGCCUGGUAGCGGGGGAUAACUAUUGGAAACGAUAGCUAAUACCGCAUAACAGUAGAUGUUGCAUGACAUUUGCUUAAAAGGUGCAAUUGCAUCACUACCAGACGGACCUGCGUUGUAUUAGCUAGUUGGUGGGGUAACGGCUCACCAAGGCGACGAUACAUAGCCGACCUGAGAGGGUGAUCGGCCACACUGGGACUGAGACACGGCCCAGACUCCUACGGGAGGCAGCAGUAGGGAAUCUUCGGCAAUGGACGGAAGUCUGACCGAGCAACGCCGCGUGAGUGAAGAAGGUUUUCGGAUCGUAAAGCUCUGUUGUAAGAGAAGAACGAGUGUGAGAGUGGAAAGUUCACACUGUGACGGUAUCUUACCAGAAAGGGACGGCUAACUACGUGCCAGCAGCCGCGGUAAUACGUAGGUCCCGAGCGUUGUCCGGAUUUAUUGGGCGUAAAGCGAGCGCAGGCGGUUAGAUAAGUCUGAAGUUAAAGGCUGUGGCUUAACCAUAGUACGCUUUGGAAACUGUUUAACUUGAGUGCAAGAGGGGAGAGUGGAAUUCCAUGUGUAGCGGUGAAAUGCGUAGAUAUAUGGAGGAACACCGGUGGCGAAAGCGGCUCUCUGGCUUGUAACUGACGCUGAGGCUCGAAAGCGUGGGGAGCAAACAGGAUUAGAUACCCUGGUAGUCCACGCCGUAAACGAUGAGUGCUAGGUGUUAGACCCUUUCCGGGGUUUAGUGCCGUAGCUAACGCAUUAAGCACUCCGCCUGGGGAGUACGACCGCAAGGUUGAAACUCAAAGGAAUUGACGGGGGCCCGCACAAGUGGUGGAGCAUGUAGUUUAAUUCGAAGCAACGCGAAGAACCUUACCAGGUCUUGACAUCCCUCUGACCGCUCUAGAGAUAGAGUUUUCCUUCGGGACAGAGGUGACAGGUGGUGCAUGGUUGUCGUCAGCUCGUGUCGUGAGAUGUUGGGUUAAGUCCCGCAACGAGCGCAACCCCUAUUGUUAGUUGCCAUCAUUCAGUUGGGCACUCUAGCGAGACUGCCGGUAAUAAACCGGAGGAAGGUGGGGAUGACGUCAAAUCAUCAUGCCCCUUAUGACCUGGGCUACACACGUGCUACAAUGGCUGGUACAACGAGUCGCAAGCCGGUGACGGCAAGCUAAUCUCUUAAAGCCAGUCUCAGUUCGGAUUGUAGGCUGCAAACUCGCCUACAUGAAAGUCGGAAAUCGCUAGUAAUCGCGGAUCAGCACGCCGCGGUGAAUACGUUCCCGGGCCUUGCACACACCGCCCGUCAAA
rnacentral:rRNA from 1 species